rnacentral:tRNA from 1 species
GCUUGUGUUCGAGGCGGCAUCAGCCUUCCAAGCUGAAUACGAGGGUUCGAUCCCCUCACCCGCUCCA